rnacentral:lncRNA from 11 species
UCCCUCCUUGUUUUCUGUUCUCCUUUCAUAGAUGAGAAAUUGACUGGAGUUCAGAGUUGCCCCUUCACCAUGACAGUUCCUUUCCAGGAGUUUCUCUUCAGACAUAUCCAUCUUCUCACUUCUUUGCAAUUACUUUGCUGACAGGUUGAAGGCUUUUAAAUUCACUCAUACAUGCUUUCCAGGAUUCUCAUACUGAGCUAAAUAAUGGGAAAAAAUAUUCUUCUUCCCAUUUGGAGAUGUCUUCCAUGGUCCUGACACCCUCUUUUCUUUUGCGCACCCCUGCAAAUAUUACAGGGCCAAAGUCAAGCCUGGUUUGAAUGAAUCAUAUUCUGCCAGAAUAAUAAAAAAUGGGGGUGUGACAGGUGAUUUUAACAGCUUAUUCUCAGAAAAGGUUCAAUAGAUUGAUCUGGUUUAUUCAUAGUACUUUAAAGUCAAGUUGAGGGAAUGAAGUUGGAAGCACAAACAAGCCUACUUGUUCAGAUACAUGAAAUGUCUAGGAACACAUCAUUACACGCAGAGUGAUUGUGAAUAGGCAUGGAAAUGCAAAGCUUGUGGGUAUGGAGAUGAGCUGAGAAGUUCAAUGUUAUGGAAGGUCAUUGGGCAACCUAAGACUAAAGAUGUUGGGUUGCUGUGAGUUUGAUGUUGCCUAACAACAACUAAAGAUGAUGCUUAAAGGCAAGAUGAG